rnacentral:rRNA from 1 species
GAUGAACGCUGGCGGCGUGCCUAAUACAUGCAAGUCGAACGCUUUGUGGUUCAACUGAUUUGAAGAGCUUGCUCAGAUAUGACGAUGGACAUUGCAAAGAGUGGCGAACGGGUGAGUAACACGUGGGAAACCUACCUCUUAGCAGGGGAUAACAUUUGGAAACAGAUGCUAAUACCGUAUAACAAUGACAACCGCAUGGUCGUUAUUUAAAAGAUGGUUCUGCUAUCACUAAGAGAUGGUCCCGCGGUGCAUUAGCUAGUUGGUAAGGUAAUGGCUUACCAAGGCGAUGAUGCAUAGCCGAGUUGAGAGACUGAUCGGCCACAAUGGGACUGAGACACGGCCCAUACUCCUACGGGAGGCAGCAGUAGGGAAUCUUCCACAAUGGGCGAAAGCCUGAUGGAGCAACGCCGCGUGUGUGAUGAAGGGUUUCGGCUCGUAAAACACUGUUGUAAGAGAAGAAUGACAUUGAGAGUAACUGUUCAAUGUGUGACGGUAUCUUACCAGAAAGGAACGGCUAAAUACGUGCCAGCAGCCGCGGUAAUACGUAUGUUCCAAGCGUUAUCCGGAUUUAUUGGGCGUAAAGCGAGCGCAGACGGUUAUUUAAGUCUGAAGUGAAAGCCCUCAGCUCAACUGAGGAAUUGCUUUGGAAACUGGAUGACUUGAGUGCAGUAGAGGAAGUGGAACUCCAUGUGUAGCGGUGAAAUGCGUAGAUAUAUGGAAGAACACCAGUGGCGAAGGCGGCUCUCUGGUCUGUAACUGACGCUGAGGUUCGAAAGCGUGGGUAGCAAACAGGAUUAGAUACCCUGGUAGUCCACGCCGUAAACGAUGAGUGCUAAGUGUUGGAGGGUUUCCGCCCUUCAGUGCUGCAGCUAACGCAUUAAGCACUCCGCCUGGGGAGUACGGUCGCAAGACUGAAACUCAAAGGAAUUGACGGGGACCCGCACAAGCGGUGGAGCAUGUGGUUUAAUUCGAAGCAACGCGAAGAACCUUACCAGGUCUUGACAUCCCUUGACAACUCCAGAGAUGGAGCGUUCCCUUCGGGGACAAGGUGACAGGUGGUGCAUGGUUGUCGUCAGCUCGUGUCGUGAGAUGUUGGGUUAAGUCCCGCAACGAGCGCAACCCUUAUUACUAGUUGCCAGCAUUCAGUUGGGCACUCUAGUGAGACUGCCGGUGACAAACCGGAGGAAGGUGGGGAUGACGUCAAAUCAUCAUGCCCCUUAUGACCUGGGCUACACACGUGCUACAAUGGCGUAUACAACGAGUUGCCAACCCGCGAGGGUGAGCUAAUCUCUUAAAGUACGUCUCAGUUCGGAUUGUAGGCUGCAACUCGCCUACAUGAAGUCGGAAUCGCUAGUAAUCGCGGAUCAGCACGCCGCGGUGAAUACGUUCCCGGGUCUUGUACACACCGCCCGUCACACCAUGAGAGUUUGUAACACCCAAAGCCGGUGGGGUAACCUUCGGGAGCCAGCCGUCUAAGGUGGGACAGAUGAUUAGGGUG